UACGUAGGGGGCAAGCGUUGUCCGGAUUUAUUGGGCGUAAAGAGCGUGUAGGCGGCCAAGCAGGUCCGCUGUGAAAACUCGAGGCUCAACCUCGAGACGUCGGUGGAAACAGUUUGGCUAGAGUCCGGAAGAGGAGAGUGGAAUUCCCGGUGUAGCGGUGAAAUGCGCAGAUAUCGGGAAGAACACCCGUGGCGAAGGCGGCUCUCUGGGACGGUACUGACGCUGAGGUGCGAAAGCGUGGGGAGCAAACAGG
rnacentral:rRNA from 1 species